rfam:Candidatus Portnoybacteria bacterium RBG_19FT_COMBO_36_7 RBG_13_scaffold_450, whole genome shotgun sequence.
GCGGGAUUAGUAUAUCGGUAUUAUGCGACCUUCCCAAGGUCGAGAGACGGGUCCGAUUCCCGUAUCCCGCU